rnacentral:lncRNA from 1 species
GUCCAUUUUGUAAAUUAAUGGCACUAUGUAUUUAAUCUUAAUUUAUAGGGCCUAUGAGUUCAUAUCUGGAAUAAAAUAAUGGCAAUUCUACAGAAAUAUCACUGCUAAGGAGUGUCAAACAAAUUCAGGAGGACUGAAUUAACUGGAUGUUCUCAUGCAGGAUGAAAAAGAAAUUGUUGACUUUAAUUGAAUAAUCAUUAUCAUUAAUGUAAGGUUAAAAAUAUUGAACAUUCAAAAGGAUGCAAACAGAAAGUUGAAAGUAGGGCCUGAAUUUCAGGUUAAGUGAUCCAGGAAUGGGGUUGGCCUUCUGCAGGCUAAAUCAAUUGAGGGAGAUCCCUUUAUUUCAAGUUAAAUGAUCAUUUGAAUAAGAUGCCAUUCAGGCAAUAAGGGCCUGGUUAGGUCCAUAUUUUAAUUCAAAUUAUUAAGUACUCGAUUUAUCCAUCAACAAAACCCAACAUUACAAUUUCCAUCGAGUGUGAUGCAACAAAACCAUCUAUAGUUUAUUAAUUAUGUUAACCUAAUCCAUCAAUUGGCAAUGAGCCUACUUUAGUAAUAAUUUUAUAUACUCCAUCUCUAAUUUGCCCAUUAUAUUUAUAAAUUAACUGACAGUUAAUACUAUUACUCUUUCACAUACUAAUAAAAUCAUCUGGGCCUGGUUGUUCGAAGCCCGUGUAAGCCUUUGAACUACCGGCCCCAGAUGAUUUUAUUAGUCUGUGAAAGAUUAAUUAUUAACUGUCAGUUUAUAAAUAUAAUGGGCAAAUAUAUGAUUAUGUAAAAAUUGCAUGCAUGGUUCAUAAAAUCUCUGUGAUAGACUUGCUCCAACAGAUUCAAAUUCCAUCCUGACAAUACCUAAAUAAUAAUUAUAGAGGUUGCAGUGUUGCACUACCUUUUGCUAAAAUACUGCCAUUGUUUACCAGUAUUUAAUAUGAACUCAAAAGUCAAAACACUUAAUAAUUAACACUAUGAAGUAUUUAGAUUUAUAAAUAGUACUUAGUAUUUUAUAAGCCUUAAUUGCAUAUAAAAUAGUUUAUAGUUAUCUUACC